rnacentral:rRNA from 1 species
GACGAACGCUGGCGGCGUGCUUAACACAUGCAAGUCGAACGGUGACCCAGGGCUUGCCCUGGUGAUCAGUGGCGAACGGGUGAGUAACACGUGGGCAACCUGCCCCUGACUUCGGGAUAACUCCUCGAAAGAGGAGCUAAUACCGGAUACGACCACUUCGGACAUCCGAUGGUGGUGGAAAGUUUUUCGGUCAGGGAUGGGCCCGCGGCCUAUCAGCUAGUUGGUGGGGUAAUGGCCUACCAAGGCGACGACGGGUAGCCGGCCUGAGAGGGCGACCGGCCACACUGGGACUGAGACACGGCCCAGACUCCUACGGGAGGCAGCAGUGGGGAAUACUGCGCAAUGGGCGAAAGCCUGACGCAGCGACGCCGCGUGAGGGAUGAAGGCCUUCGGGUUGUAAACCUCUUUCAGCAGGGACGAAGCGAAAGUGACGGUACCUGCAGAAGAAGCACCGGCUAACUACGUGCCAGCAG